rnacentral:rRNA from 1 species
CCCUUAGAUGUUCGGGGCCGCACGCGCGCUACACUGAAGGAAUCAGCACGUCUUUCUCCUUGUCCGAAAGGACUGGGUAACCCGCUGAACCUCCUUCGUGCUAGGGAUUGGGGCUUGUAAUUCUUCCCCAUGAACGAGGAAUUCCCAGUAAGUGCGAGUCAUCAGCUCGCGUUGAUUACGUCCCUGCCCUUUGUACACACCGCCCGUCGCUACUACCGAUUGGGAAAAUUUUAGAGAGUCCUGGACUGAUGAUUGUUCGGCUUCACGGCCUUACUUUCGUCGGGAAAGAAUUCGAUAAUAUUUUUCUAGAGGAAGUAAAAGUCGUAACA